AUAGUAAUGAAGCAGUUUUGGUGUAUAGAUCAUGCCCUGCAGUCUCACUACUCAAUUCUCUGCCAUUUAGGAGUUACAUCCCUUUGUUUAUGCAGCUAUAGUCACACCUCCUCUGGCUAGGAGUCACACAGCCAUCCUACACACUUACAAUUCCUUCUCUCCUGCUCUGUUAAUGGUUUUCUAGAUCCUGCAGGAGCCUCCUGUGUGUGAUUAAAUUUCAAGUAACUGAGCAAUAGCUGUGAACUUCUAAAGUAAACACACAGUGCUGUAAAAAUAAGACCUUCUUUUCAUGGAGGCUGUGUGAGUCAUAAGAUUGAUACUGCUGUUUAGAAUGUAUGUUAGGAAGUACUUUGAAGCCUGACUGCGUAUAAAGGAAGUUGGGAAGCGCUCUGCCUACGUGUGUUGCGAUGGCGUUUAAUAUCGAGCCUUUCCUUUCAGAUACUGGAGAGCUCCCAAACUCUGCUGAAUGUAUUGAAGAGAGAAGCUGGAAAUCUGGGGAAAGCCACGGAAGUGAGAGGCAGUGUAAAUACCACACAGCCCUGAGACUGCCACUAGGCUAUCAUCAUGUACCAUAGCAAUUGCUGUACUCAACGUUUUUAUUUUUCAUAUAUAUGUUUUAUUACCCUGUGCAGAAAGUUUAAUAAAGAUUAUAUUUCUGUGAAAUGGCAGAUGUUUUUAGUGUGAUUUACUAAACCAGGGUUUGAUAAAUUUGUAAUGACAAGGGUAGCUGAUCUUAAAGGGACACUACAGUCACCAGAACCGCUUAAUGUAGUUGUUCUGGUGUCUUUAGUCAGUCCCUGAAGGCUUUUUGCAGUAAACACUGUCUUUUCAGAGAGAAUGCAGUGUUUACAUUGCUCCCCUUGGGAUGCCUCCAAUGACAGUCACAAGAGACACUAGACGUGCUUCCUGGGUCAGUGCCGUACAAUGUGCGGCACCUACGUUUAGU